rnacentral:rRNA from 1 species
UACAGAGGGGGCAAGCGUUGUUCGGAAUUACUGGGCGUAAAGGGCGCGUAGGCGGCCUUCUAAGUCGAACGUGAAAUCCCCGGGCUCAACCCGGGAACUGCGUCCGAUACUGGAAGGCUUGAAUCCGGGAGAGGGAUGCGGAAUUCCAGGUGUAGCGGUGAAAUGCGUAGAUAUCUGGAGGAACACCGGUGGCGAAGGCGGCAUCCUGGACCGGCAUUGACGCUGAGGCGCGAAAGCCAGGAGAGCAAACGGG